AACGAACGCUGGCGGCAGGCUUAACACAUGCAAGUCGAACGCCCCGCAAGGGGAGUGGCAGACGGGUGAGUAACGCGUGGGAACGUGCCCUUCGCUUCGGAAUAGCCUCGGGAAACUGGGAGUAAUACCGAAUACGCCGUAUUGGGAAAGAUUUAUCGGCGAAGGAUCGGCCCGCGUUAGAUUAGGUAGUUGGCGGUGUAAUGGACCACCAAGCCUACGAUCUAUAGCUGGUCUGAGAGGAUGAUCAGCCACACUGGGACUGAGACACGGCCCAGACUCCUACGGGAGGCAGCAGUGGGGAAUCUUGGACAAUGGGCGCAAGCCUGAUCCAGCCAUGCCGCGUGAGUGAAGAAGGCCUUAGGGUUGUAAAACUCUUUCGCCGGAGAAGAUAAUGACGGUAUCCGGAGAAGAAGCCCCGGCUAACUUCGUGCCAGCAGCCGCCGUAACAC
rnacentral:rRNA from 1 species